AAGUCGUAACAAGGUUUCCGUAGGUGAACCUGCGGAAGGAUCAUUAAUGAAACUUCAAAGUCGGCUUGGUCGUCUGUGCUGGUGGAGACACAUGUGCACGUCGGCAAAGUCGCAAACCCACACACCUGUGCAUCUAUGACUCUGAGUACCGCUUUGCAUGGGCUGUCAAACGCCCUGGUACUCGAGUAACCUUCACACACUCUGAAUGUAAUGGAAUGUCUAUUGUACAAUGUACAACCAAAAACAACUUUCAACAACGGAUCUCUUGGCUCUCGCAUCGAUGAAGAACGCAGCGAAAUGCGAUAAGUAAUGUGAAUUGCAGAAUUCAGUGGAUCAUCGAAUCUUUGAACGCACCUUGCACCCUUUGGUAUUCCGAAGGGUACACCCGUUUGAGUGUCAUUGUAAUCUCACUACAACCGCUUUUUUGUUGUUGUAUGUGGACUUGGAUGUUGCCGUGUAACACACGGCUCAUCUGAAAUGCCUGAGUGUACCCUGCUUUGCGGCGUAUUCGGUGUGAUAAAUCUUCACCGGAGUUGACCCUCAGGUCACGUCUGCUUGACAUGGCUCUAUGCUUCCAACCGUCCUGCAAGACAAUUUUUGACAAUUUGACCUCAAAUCGGGUGGGACUACCCGCUGAACUUAA
rnacentral:rRNA from 1 species